CCUACGGGAGGCAGCAGUGAGGAAUAUUGGUCAAUGGGCGCAGGCCUGAACCAGCCAAGUCGCGUGAGGGAAGACUGCCCUAUGGGUUGUAAACCUCUUUUAUAAGGGAAGAAGACUGACUACGUGUAGCCAGCUGCCCGUACCUUAUGAAUAAGCAUCGGCUAACUCCGUGCCAGCAGCCGCGGUAAUACGGGGGAUGCGAGCGUUAUCCGGAUUUAUUGGGUUUAAAGGGUGCGUAGGCGGUAUCUUAUGUUCGUGGUAAAACGUCGGGGCUUCACCUUGAUUGGCCAUUCAAACUGGAGUACUAGAGUACAGACGAGGUAGGCGGAAUGUGUUUGGUAGCGGUGAAAUGCUUAGAUAUAACUUAGAACCCCGAUGGCGAAGGCAGCUUACCAGACUGUUACUGACGCUGAGGCACGAAAGCGUGGGUAGCGAACAGGAUUAGAUACCCGAGUAGUC
rnacentral:rRNA from 1 species